UGUACAAAAGUCUCUCCCUAGAGUUGAGCAGGCUAGUUGUCUGUCAUCUUCUCCCGCUGGGGUGGCCAGAACCUAAGGGGUAUACUCGUGAGUCAAAUGGGCUGUAACCCAAAAUUUGGCUUAAAAAAGCCAAAUCUGGAAACAGAGCAAAACCUCCAGCAAAAAAAGGGGAAUAUUCUGAACAUGCAAUGCUGGUAUGUUGGAGAGGAGAAACGUCUUUGGAAAUUAAGAGACAAGUCAUCGAUGGAGGAUGAAACAAAGCAGAAAUAGGUUGGGCUCCUUUGAAGAAAAAACCCAAAUCUGAAAUAGCUGCCAAACCUUUGGAUGUUGGGGGUGGGAUUGCAGCAUUACAGAAAGAAGUGAGAAGAAAGAGACUAUUGGGGAAAGAGGCAAGUGUAGCAGCAGCAUCGGCAACUACUAUUUUCAACCUCCAUGCCCUCCUCAGGCUACAACACCUAACUGAUCCACCUCCUUCUCUGCUUCUGCUCCCCUAUUGUGUCCCCCUAUAAACAAUACUGGUAUAUAUCACCUAUUGUCCUCACCCCCAGUAAUUGAAGAGCAACACUGAAAAAUAAGGAGGAGGAAAUUGUGGUAUCAACAGCACUACAGAUGCACAUUUAUUCAGAAGGGCAGUUUCUCUUCUGUAAAUUCUUUCUCCUUCCAGCACUUGCCACCCACAAGGAUUGCCCUGUAUUGUACUGUGUACCUAUAUCACCACCCUGCUGGAGAAGAGGUUUUCAAUUCUCCAAGCUUCAAGUUAAGAGAAACCUCCUGUGAGGGAGUGUUUUCAUCAGGGAAAUUGUAUUGGGAGAAAGAGUUAAACCUUAUGCCUAAAUGAGCAUAAAAAUAUUUAAACUUAGAUCCAGAAAAGAGAGAGGUUGGAGAGAACAUGUCAACAUAAGACAAAACAUGCUAAUUUAGACCAAAGAUCCCAACAUGAUCACAACACAAAAUAGGGUAUAUUACUGAUCCAGAAGAUAAAUCUAAAUGCCAAAAAAGACCAGGAAAGAAAGCUUAUACAGUAAUGGGCUGCUAAAAGCUAUGAGUAUAGCUAGAAGUGGGUAUUUUAAUAACAAACUUUAUAAGUCCUACAUAAAACAGCCAAACACAGUUAAAAUCAUUCCAUAAAGAUAAAAUAUAAAACCUUCGGAUACAAAUAGCAACAUAGUAACAAAGAUAAUAUAAAAAUGUCCCAAAUUGUAAAAAUACAUGCUCACAAGUGAGCCAAAGCCUUCUUGAGAACUGAAUGCUGUAGCACCAAAUAGUGAUAAGUCUUCCCAAAGUGUAAAAGUCCUGUUCAAUGGGUCAGACGCGUUAAACCAAAGAUCCAAGUCCAGCAUCCUGUUUCCCACAGUGGCCAACCAGAUGCUACAAAAAGAUUGUGACAAACCCGGUUCCCUCACUCACAUGAAGUGGAUUUGUGAGGAUUGGUUUUUCUGUGGGAAAAAUAUCCCAUGUUAAAAGUAUGAUUUCCAAUCAUUUAUUACCAUUGAACCAAGGUGGAACAAUUAAAUGUCCAGAUGUAUAAGGACUUGAUUUCUAAUCUCCAUAAAAUGGCUAGAGUAGAAACAGAAGCAUCCCGAAAGGACAAACCUUGCUUACCAUUAAAUCUUGGUACAGAUGGAUUUGGGACCUCCUAACUAUGGACAAACUAAUGUACCAAACAAGGGCAACUAGGAACGUGGUAAAACCAGAAGCUUUCUUCGGACAUUUCAUACCCUUUUAUUGCACCCACAGAUUACCUAGGAGCAAACACCAUUUCAUCUAGCACUGUUGAUGUACAGAUUUUUUGUAAGUUUUAUUAUACUAACUAAAUUACUCAAUGGAAGUCCUAUUGAAAAUAAGUAAUCACUUAGAGUAACUUCUGAGCAGUAAUAUUGAGCAAUUUAGCUGGAAGUCAGCCCAUGAGUUCUGGUUUGUUCUAAAUAUGUGUGUUUUAUUUUUUCUUAUUACGCAUGGAAUUUCAAGACAUUGGACAAUACAUAAACAUGCUAGAUAAUUUCAUCCUCAGCUUUUCCAUUUUACUUAAGAAUUAUAUGUAUUUGAAGUUCUUAAAAAAUUAGCCCUCAAGCACAGUGCUGAAUGAGUAAACCCUACAAGAUUUUGAGUGUCUAAACCAAUUUUAUUCUUUUCUCCCUGUAUUGAAUAACUAGGAUGCCUUGAGGAAGUGCACUGAAAUCUGAAACAUUAGGCGAGCUGAUGUGAGGAGGAAUUUUCUGAGUCAUUCCUCAGGGUAUUGGCAAUUGUGGAUGCACUGGAAAGAACCUUGAGAAAAAGCUAAUUUUAAUGUAAUUUUAUAAUUUACUCCUACAACCUUUAGAAAUGAUUCAAGACACUCUAGUUUUUUCUUCCUUGGAGUAUGUUCAUAUUUUUUGUCAGUAAAUUCACUGAAAAUCCCUAAUGCAGCUUCUAAAUUUCAAUCUUAAUUGCAUGGCUGAUCUGAUAGAUAGCAACAUUUCGACUUUUCUAAAAUGAUAUGUGGGUAUUAUGAUAGACCGCUGUAAAUUCCCUGCAGUGAAAAUUCCUCCACUCUUUUUUCUUUUUUAACCUUCCCCCACCCCUUACCAUUUCUAUUAUUUUGGCAUUCUACUCAUAAUAUAAAUCUUUCCUGAUAUUUUUAAGAAAAAGCAUAUUGGCAUCAAUGUAUUCUUGCUGUAUUUUUAUAUAUACAGAAAAUAUACAUAAGAUACAUUAAUACUAUAUUAUAGCAUUAACCUCUUAUCAAAUUCAAUAAAUAAAUAAAACUAGGUGGCCCAGGCAAAGAGCAUCUGUGCUUCUAGUUAUCCCCCUCCUUCCCCCCUCGUUCUCGACCCUCUACAUCCCUCUUGGCUC